GGGGAUAGAGGGAGGAAGGAAGGAAGGAAGGAGGGUGGUAGAGGAGAGGAGGGAGAGAAGAAACGUAUAAUCACCCAAACAACCAUUUUUACCCAUUUUACCCCCUCUGGAUCUGUGUCGCAAGGUAAGGGGAAAAAAGGCUACUUGGCUUCUAUUCUGGCCCUCUCUGCAUCAUGAACUGCUCCGGCUUGACUUGUGUAAGAACUCCUCUCUCACACCCGGCAGUCUGCCGUCAGGUUAUCCGCCUCUCACUGCGGAUACGGUGGAGGGAGGCCGAACCGUCAGAGGAAGACACUAAGAGGAGGAAGAGGAAAGUCAGAUGGCCAGGAGGUGAAGACAUCGCAUGCCAAAAACACAUUACUCCCGAAGUUCAAUUUGCACGCGAGAUCUAUUAUUAGGACUUCUGUUUCACUGAAAUGUGCGUGUCUGGCAGCGGAGGGUGGGGUUUGGAGGAGUGUCGGCCAGAUUAUAAGGCCUGUGGUGAGAGAUGAGGGAUGGCCGACUUGUAAACAAGUGACAAGCGUCCUGGAUGACAAUUCCUAAUCCAUCAUAGUGCUGUCAGCGGUGACCGGUGAGGUGACGGACAGGACCCAGGAGAGGAGACAGCUGCUGCACGUCAAUCCACAUCAUAAUUUGAAAAGCUUUUCCACAUGAGCUGAAACAGAGGGAAAGAGAAAGAGGAAAGGACUCAUACAUCCCACCAUCUGCAACCUCCUCCUCAAUCUGCCUUCCGUGUCCCUCCUAUCCUCCACCUCCUCCUCACUUUUCCUCUUCCUGGCUGUUGAGGACUGAGAUGAUGGGGUGUCCAUCUUCAGAUAGUGAACUAUAGAAAACCAUGGUAUCCUUAAAUUUGUUGAUGGGUGAUGGGAUGGGACUUUAAUCAGAUAAAGAUAGAGUGCAUCAAAUCUAGAUGUAAUUACCCAAACUGCUCAUGGAUGUAUUCAGACAUACUCUACAUGUCCAUAAUAACUUAUUAUGGUUAGUUAAUUGAUAAACUUAAGUUUGCUUUAUUUGCAUAACUUGUUGUAGUAAUUUUUUUUUUCUAUUUCAGAAACAUACCAAUAUAUUUCUUAAUGCUGCUGCUGUAAUAAUUAUUUAUAAUCCUUGUAGUUUCUGGCUUUUCCCUGCAUUUUCACUUGUGCAAGUAAAAUGAAACUAGACUGUAUUUGUAAAAGUUUUAACCCCUUAUGUUGAAAUAAUUACAAUAAUUGCAAAAUCUUUCAAUUCUUUUUUCAAUUUCAAUUUCCUUUUUUUUUUUUUUUAACCUUAUUAAAACCCAAUAUGUAGACAAGUACUUCAGUGGUCCCCCUUCUCUUUGACACAAACUGGCCUUGAACACGAUGAAGGUGCCAAAAUACCGAAAUGAAAGUAAUGCAUUGUUAUUACAAGAAAGAAGUAUAUAUAUAUAUAUAUAUAUAUAUAUAUAGAAGAAUAUUUCAUGUUUUAUAUGUUGUGUGGGCAUUGGUGGAAGAAGUAUUUAGAUUGCUUAAGUAAAACACCACAAUGUCAAAUUGCUGUAUUACAAGUAUAGUAUCAAAAGAAAAAAGUGCUCACUAUGCAGACUGGUCAUUGUCAGUAUCACAUUAUAAUAUUGAACCAUUGCUCACGCAUUAACCUGCGAGCAGUUGUUUAGUGUUGUAGUUGGUGAAGGCAGAACUUAUUUUACCUACUUCAUCUUCUUUUGGGUUGUUUGGUCAUGUUUUAUAAAUUUGUCACAUGUUUUUUUCUUUAAAUAUUUUAACAGCAGAGUACACACAACAGCAACUAAUAAAAAUGUGGAAUGUAGUGGAGUAUCUCAAAACUGUACUCAAGUAUAGUACUAUGUACCCACUGUACAGUAUAUGGGCUCUGCGUGAACAAAUAUUUAUAUUUAGUUUUCCAAAAAGUCAUAAGCAAACAAAUAAAUGUACAGUGUUGAUGUUCCUUAUGUUUUGUCAGUUAGACCCUGCAGAAGUCGGACUCACUCUUAGACCUCUAAUAAACAAGCUGUUAUACUAUGCCAAUAAGAUGUCUUCCUGCGUUAACACUCACGUACAGAGAAUAUGAAAAUCCAUUGUGUGGAGCCACGUGCUGGAGUCAAAUAUCUCAUCGGUUCAAAAUCAUGUGAUAAGCAGUUGUCAUAAAAUAAUAAGUCUUCAUGUUGAAUAGAUUUUUCUGGUCUGCUUACCAAACAGAAGAUCAGGGUUAAAACUUAUUCUGUAUAAAUACAUUUUUGUUGCAAAUCAUCAGAAAUGUUGAUAGACAGAUUCAAUCAAACAGAAAUCAAAAAGGAUUCAAGAAAAUCAAUAAAGGAGUGGAUGGAAAAAAAGACAUGAUGAGUCCUAGAUCUUUGAAAAGAAAGUGAUAUUUGUAUUUUGGUAAAGAUACUAAUUUAAGGUGUAAACACAAUCUAGACUCAGUUCAGAUAUGAGUUGCUUGUUAGCGCCAGGUGUAAAGAGGCCCCUAUGAGUAUUAAUCUUCCUCUUGGCUGUCGGCGGGCUGAUUUAGUCACCCAUGUUGGGUCAAGGCCCUCAUUCUUUUCUUAAAGACCUCGCUUCCCUGCCAAACCGGGAUUUCCGAUUGAGGGGGCUCAAUAACAACUUUGAUGUGGACAGCGUCCUAGAGAGUGAAGUGAAAGGCAAGAGGGAGGAGAGCUGCACAAUGGCGUGACCUUCCUCCUCCUGCAUCUGCACAGAUCACACUCUAAAUGGUCACAUUGAUGCUGCUGCUUAGCUCUUUGCUAGGAGCCCUGAUGGAGCCAACACUGGGGACUGGGACACAGCAAAGCCUGGGCACCUGCCAACAGACAGGGACAAAUUGAUUGAGAUCAAGCCAGCUCUUAUUGCAUUUAACCCCCCUGCACUUACCAGUUAGUUCUGCUUAAAGUAAACUGGAGAGGAAGCCUGAAUAGAGCUGCUGUUAAAACAAGUUCUUCAUUAAAAAAAAAAAAAAGACUAUUUCAAUUCAAAUUACUAUUGUUCACUGAUUAUAUUCGCUUAUAUUCUUCUUUUUUUUUACUCUACUUUGUUCAUUUCUGUGCAGUUACAUCCUGUAAUGCUCCACACAAUCAUUGAAAAUUUUGGCCUUCGGUCUUGUUGGCUCAGUUUGCCGAGACACUUCUGAAUAAAUACACAGUCAGAAGAGACUGCUCGCAUUGUGCCACAGGCAUUGUCACUCUUAAUGAUGAAGGUGAAAUUAAAAAUCCCUCCAAACCAUGUUUUCUUUUACUUUAACAACUUAAUGAAAACAACUCAUUAAGACAAUUAUUUUCUAUGAAAGUAUUUGGAGCCAGCACUGUGUCUUAUGAUUGA